GCUAGAGCUCCUCGUAUCACAAUCCAACCCCAGGUCACUUAUUCUUAUUUUUGUUCGUUGUUAAAACUGCGGAGCUUAAAACAGGACUAAGGAAUCCGCGGUUUCGCACCCAGCUGAGGCGCUCCGCACGAACGGGGUCCCCGCACUCCGCACCCUCCCACGGAGCCCCGCACUUCGGCCGGCAGUGCGGCCGCGCUUGCGCCCGGGCCCCCAACGCCUCGCGCCGCCUGGUUGCCGUGGGAACCUCAGAGCACCGCGGCGCCCGAAGACCCAGCAGUGAGAGGUACGGGGGCCCGACCAUGGAGCUGCCGGAUCCGGUCCGCCAGCGGCUGGGAAACUUCAGCCGGACCGUGUUCAGCGACUCCAGCCGGACCGGGCCGGAGUAUAACGAGGGUCCGGAGACCAGACCAUUUUCUGGCAGAAGACAUGGAAAGAAGCUUUGGUUUUUUUUUAAUAAUGAAACGGUUUCCAGUUUGGCACUGCAGAUGUCACUUUAUUUUAACACUUACUUUUUCCCACUUUGGUGGGUGAGCAGCAUUAUGAUGCUUCAGAUGAAGUAUUCAAUCUUGCCUGAUUACUACAAAUUCAUUGUGGUCACCAUCAUCAUCCUGAUAACCUUAAUUGAAGCUAUCAGGUUGUAUCUGGGCUACAUGGGGAACCUGCAGGAGAAGGUUCCUGAGUUGGCUGGCUUUUGGCUUUUGAGCCUUCUGUUGCAGUUGCCUUUAAUUCUUUUCUUGCUCUUUAAUGAAGGUCUAACGAAUCUGCCCUUGGAAAAAGCAGUACAUAUCAUCUUCACUAUGUUCCUUACUUUCCAAGUUGUUUCAGCAUUUCUUACCCUGAGGAAAAUGGUAAAUCAGUUGGCAACUCGUUUCCACCUCCAAGAAUUUGACUGGCUCUCUGUGAGCAGAGGAGACAUGAGAAGAGUAAGAUCCUGUAUAGAAGAGAUUUGACCCAGUGCUGUUGAGUGAAAACUUGAAGGAUCAUUCUAGAAGACUGCAAGAGUUAGGAAAACACUGGAGGACUAGCACCAGAAAAAGGAUAAAGCAAGUGUUUUGAACCGUAUACUGUCUGGCUCUGAAAUUCCAAAGUUGCAGGUAAUGAGACUGUGCAUCACAUGAAAGCAGUACAUCAGCCCUGAAGCCUACAUGUUGCCUACCUGAUGUCAAGUAUCUUAAAUUUUUGGUUGCUGUCAACUUUUUCAGACUCUCCACUUCCUGCAGCGGAACACCCACACUCUUUAGCAUGGCGCACCAGACUUCUUCCCGCCUGUCUAGUUCAUCCUGCCAGCCCUCCAGUCCUACACCUGCAGCUCUUCCAGUGCACCAUUCUGGAUUUUACCUCCGGAUCUUUUCCUUCCAUUCUGCUCUCAGCCUGAAGUAACUUUAUCCACGUGGUGAAAGUCUGCUUAUCUUGUAAUGCCUGGCUCAACUGUCAUGUCCUCUAUGGAAACGUUCCAUUGUCUCUUACCUACUUCCAGGUAACACUUACACACUUUUCUUUGUAUCGCUGCUUCUCAUCUUUUAUGAGUACAUCUAAAAUGAUUAAUUAUAUGUCUUUUUAUAUAUUGGGAUCAUACUACUUAAUUGUAAGGUCUUCCUGAUAAGUGUCCUAUUCAUCCGUGUAUUUCCAAUGCUUAACACAUUGUAAGUGUUCAAUAAAUAUUUGGUGAUGUUGGGGAGCAAAAUUUGCCAUCCCAGGAUGUCUCCGGUGUGUAGAUUAUUUCACGCUGAAAACAGUCAAGGCCCAAAAGCCUCAGGAAGAAAUUUUGACCUUCCCCCUA